rnacentral:rRNA from 1 species
CAAUAGCGUAUAUUAAAGUUGUUGCAGUUAAAAAGCUCGUAGUUGGAUUUCUGGUGGGAGCGAUCGGUCUGGCGCUUAGCGCGAGUACUUGCAUCGUCUCCGGCCAUCCUUGGGGAGAGUCUGUCUGGCAUUAGGUUGUCGGGCAGAGGAUCCUCAUCGUUUACUGUGGAAAAAUUAGAGUGUUCAAAGCAGGCUUAUGCCGUUGAAUAUAUUAGCAUGGAAUAAUAAGAUAGGACUUUGGUACUAUUUUGUUGGUUUGCGCACCAAAGUAAUGAUUAAUAGGGACAGUUGGGGGUAUUCGUAUUCCGUUGUCAGAGGUGAAAUUCUUGGAUUUACGGAAGACGAACUACUGCGAAAGCAUUUACCAAGGAUGCUUUCAUUAA